UACGAAGGGUGCAAGCGUUACUCGGAAUUACUGGGCGUAAAGCGUGCGUAGGUGGUUCGUUAAGUCUGUCGUGAAAGCCCCGGGCUCAACCUGGGAAUGGCGAUGGAUACUGGCGAGCUAGAGUGCGGUAGAGGAGAGUGGAAUUCCCGGUGUAGCAGUGAAAUGCGUAGAGAUCGGGAGGAACAUCAGUUGCGAAGGCGGCUC
rnacentral:rRNA from 1 species